UAUCAGACGCCGGGGAAGGGAGGGCUGGAAGGAGGAAGCUCUUAAAGGGCCCGCGCCUAACGCUGGAGCGCAGAGUCCCCUGCAGGUCAGCGCGGGAACUGCAGGCUCGGCAGAGACGUCAAAGGGGGAUCCGGCCCCACGUGGCCCAGGGGCCUGGGCUCAGGCUUAAGAGCUGCUGGAACUAGGUUCUCACAUUUUUGGUUCCUUCCAGUGAAUGAUUCUGUCCAGCACAAGGAUCCACACAUGCACCCAAAAGAACAAGAAAUAAGCCCUGGUAUGAUCUCACGCUUCCAAUAUAGAUGCCAUGGCAGAGAGUUACUAACCUCCCUCUGAAGCCCUCAACUUUGGGCCUGGAAAUCCAAAUUAUUCUGAAGAGCUCAAGGAGAGGCAGGAAUUUCAGGUGAUGUCACAGUGAUGACAACCAACCCUCCAGGUCCCUCCCUGCAGCCCAGCAAGUUCCCCCAUCCCUGUCCCUCAUAUAAAGCAGUUGAGACCACAGAGGAUGUAUUCUGUCAUAGGACAUACAAGGAGAUGAUGAUUGGCUGUUAGAGCAUUUGGAUUGCAGUAGUGUGGUACUGAGACAGCCUAUGGACUGCAUUGGCAACACCAGUAAAGACUUUUGAGGGAGAGGCCUGUAUUAGUGUGUCUGCAUUUCUGCUAACUAACCUUUGAUUUUUGUCCCUUACAUGUUCUGCAAGUGAGUCCCCACGGGGCAGAGUGCAGGGGAUAGAGAAGAAGAAAAGAAGAAAGAAAGUUUAAGUGUGCUAAAAAUAUUACUGAAGUUUGA